rnacentral:rRNA from 1 species
GUGAGUAAUAUAUCGGAACGUGCCCAGUAGUGGGGGAUAACUGCUCGAAAGAGCAGCUAAUACCGCAUACGACCUGAGGGUGAAAGGGGGGGAUCGCAAGACCUCUCGCUAUUGGAGCGGCCGAUAUCAGAUUAGCUAGUUGGUGGGGUAAAGGCCUACCAAGGCAACGAUCUGUAGUUGGUCUGAGAGGACGACCAGCCACACUGGGACUGAGACACGGCCCAGACUCCUACGGGAGGCAGCAGUGGGGAAUUUUGGACAAUGGGCGCAAGCCUGAUCCAGCAAUGCCGCGUGCAGGAAGAAGGCCUUCGGGUUGUAAACUGCUUUUGUCAGGGAAGAAAUCCUCUAGGUUAAUACCCUUGGGGGGAUGACGGUACCUGAAGAAUAAGCACCGGCUA